rnacentral:lncRNA from 1 species
GAAGACAUACUUCAUUCAUGUGUCAAUUUUGUUAAUGCUGACUUCUAGGAGGAGAAGGGGACGACAGAGGAUGAGACGGCUGGAUGGCAUCACCGACUUGAUGGACAUGAGUUUGGGUGGACUCCGGGAGUUGGUGAUGGACAGGGAGGCCUGGCGUGCUGCAGUUCAUGGGGUUGCAAACAGCUGGACACCACUGAGCGACUGAACUGAACUGAACUGAAAGUACUGAAAAGGCGGUUGUGAGUAGUACACCAUAAAUAAGCUAUGAAGAUAAGGCUUCCCUUCAGUGUGAGACAAAGACAAUGAUGACGUGAUGAUACACAAAAUAUGCUUGAGAUGCCAAGAGGUUCCUGGGAAGGAGCUCCCGGUUCUGCUGGGAGAGUCGGGGGAGGCCUUUCUGAGGAGGGAGCACACCCUCCCUAAUGAGUAUACACCCGCCGUCAGGAGCUGGAGCAGGAGGAAGCAGAUGCCGAGAAAGCCAUCUUUCCAAAGACACAUGCACCCCAACGAGCACUGCAGCACCAGCUAUAAGAGCAACACCGAUAAACAGCAAAAUCCUCAGCAACAGACUAAAGCUUCAACAAGACGUGCUCCGUAUGGAUGAUGGACUGUCGCUCGGUCAUACCAAAACAACACUCAAUGAGGAAACUGUGCCCCUGGGAUCUGAUCGAGCCUACAUGGGGCUCGUGGCAGAAUGGCUCAUGAUGUUGACCUCGCAAACAAAGAAUAAAAUCACAGUGACCCUUGAGACUGACCAAAUUGCCCAAAUGGCACACUGUUUUCCCACUGGCACCUACCUUCUCAAAGCUGCAAGACCACAGGAUUCCAGACCUCUGGCUACGAGACCACAGGACUCACCUACAGGCUAAAAAUUAACUGUCCCUUCAGAGAAUUCUUCAUCGGCAGAUUAUAAGAAAGACCCCAUUGGAAAGGGAGGACACUGGUUCUGCUAAGGGCCAGUCACCUUCUUUUUUCCCUCUAAUAAAUUUC